CACAGCAGGCUAAUGCCUUAAAGACUGUGACCCCCCUUUGGAAGGGGUUAGGAGGUAGUUUUAUAGUUUGGGGAGUGGAAUAAGGAUCAGGGUAGAGGCAAGCAGUAUUGGUAUCUAGUGGCUUUUGGUGGUCCUCCUUCCCAGAAUUAAGAAGGCUUUAUCAAGUAGUUCUUCCAUUUAUUGGGGGUUUUAGUUCUACAGAAAGGCUCAAAGAUAUUGUUAUGUAUAUUCCUUGAGGAGGAACCAGGACCCUGUCCCAAGGCUGCACUUCUCUUCCCUGGUCUCUCCAUCUCCUCCCUUCCCAGGUUAGCAGCUGCCUUUUGGAAUACAGGGAAGGUCAUGGAGGCUGAGGCUUAUUCCUAAAAAUAAGCAAUGGAGGACACAGAAAGUCUUGUGUGCCUAUAAGCCCUACAGGGCACUAACUUGCUUACAAAAAUUCCAACAAAAUUUAAUAACAUUUAUACAUAGGAGAGACCAAGAAGAAUUGAGUAACCUGCCCAAAUGACCCAAACUCCCACUUUAAAUACUAUCUCCAGCUAAAGAAAAAAGAGGAUGUUAAGGGUAAUGGUUUGGGACUUAGAAGAAGAAGAAGGCAAUUGACGUGGAGAUAGAAAAACAGAUGUUUUGGUAAACAAAUGUUUGCUGGACCUUGCAAAGACAAUAGGACAUAGAGUGGAUAUUGAUCUCUAGACUCUGGUGAGUUUCCCCACCAUACCUAGACCAUGUUCUUUGUAGAAAUGUCUGAUAAUAGCUCUGUUCCAGGAACAGGCCUUUUAUCUGAAGUUUUAUAGGCAGUUAAAAGGCGGAUACUAGGAAAAACUUCCUAAGUUUUCUGUUUCUUAAAAACAAUCAGCCUAGGAACUCCCAUUCUGGUCUAACAGAAUCGGCAGUGUCUUGGGAGCACUGGGAUGUGGGUUUGAACCCUGGCCCAGCACGGUGGUUAAGAAUCUGGCAUUCCUGCAGCUGUGGCUUAAGUUGUGACUGCAGCUCGGGUCUGAUUCCUGGCCUGGGAGCUCCAUCUGCCACUGGGCGGCCAAAAAUGAAAAUAAAUAAAUGAAUUUUAAAAAAUCAGCAUAAAAUAAUCCUUGUACCAGAGACAUUUUGGGUAGCAAAUGUUGUGUCUGCAUACUGGCCUGACCAGGCUUUGCCCUCUGUAAGACAGAAGACAUUCAUCUAAAUAUCAAGCAGAUGACUGAAAUUUGUAAUGUACCUUAUUACACGGUAUUGCUAAUGUCAAUGAAAAAUCAACCAAUUGAUCUAAGAAAUGAAAAAUUUUAUUUAAGCCAAAUUUGAGGAUUAUAAUAUGGGUAGAACAUCUCAGAAAUUUCCAAGAACUCUUCUACCCAUUAGAGGUCAAAGGCAUGGUUAUAUAUGUUUUUUGAGAGUGGGAGCUGUACAUCAAAUGACAUUUAUUAUUGAUAGUUUACAUAUUCCACAUCUAAGCAGCAGCAUGGUGGGUCAUGUGACCUCUUAUAAGCUCACAAAGGAAUGUUACCUUUUAAGGAGCUGUCUUAAUGUUGUUAGGAGAAUGUUGCUUUUUAUGGUUGAGCAGGUAUUCCUGCUGAUGGGGGAGGUCUAGUAGAUGUAUAAUGCACACAAUUCACAGUGAGGGGAGAAUGGAGACCAAAGGGCAGAGAAGAUUUUUUUUUUUUUGCUUUCUAGGGCUGCACCCACGAUAUAUGGAGGUUCCCAGGCUUGUGGUUGAAUGAGAGCGAUAGUUGCCAGCCUACACCACAGCCACAGCCACAGCAAUGCGGGAUCCGAGCCAAGUCUUUGACCUGCACUGCAGCUCACAGCAACACCGGAUCUUCAACUGAUUGAUGCCAGGGAUUGAACCUGCAACCUCAUGGUUACUAGUCGGAUUUAUUUCCACUGAGCCACAAUGGGAACUCCGAGAAGAUUUUUUAUGUUCAAAUUUCUGUCUUGCCAUAGAAAUAUGAGUUUUAUUUCACACUAAUAUAUAUUUGAAUGUAUAACUACACAAUCUAUCAUUUUUCCUUGGCAAUGUUCAGCAAUGAUGAUUUAAAAGUCCAAAAUUUCUAGCUUCUCUUUUCAUAUUAUAGUGUUUCUCACUUCCUUUUCUCUGUACUUAGUGUUUUGCAACAAAAUACUUUUAUUAGUAACUUUUUAAUAAUGUCCUCUUUGUGGUUCACUUUUAUUACUUAUUCUCUCUGUGACCAUGAGAUAAGAUCCAGGCACCUGGCUUUGUGCCAGUCCACUCCCCUUUCCUGUAAAGAACAUCACUAGAACCAAGGGGCUAUAGACCAGACAAGUUUCAGCUUAUUUUAAUCUUUAGAUAAGCUUGGAAUUUACCUUCACCUAUUUUAGAGGUUUGUGCAUUCAAUUUCCAUUGCAAACACACAAUAAUGUCCGAAAAACCCUAUACAUCUUCUGUCUCUUUCACCCUGAGAGGAAAUGGUUAAGUUUUAGAAAUGCAGGCAACACUUUUUGGAGGUUUAGAGCAGAAUUUGGCUCUGACUCAAAGCCAGGUUGGUGAAUUAUUAUGUGGAAACAAUGGUUAAGCAAUCUGAUCAUUUCCUUAAAGUCCUUUCCCCAUAUGUUGGAAACAUUAUUGAGUAGUCAGUGAUGUUUGAGUCAGCUGGAUUUCACAAAAUAUCUUGUAUUGGUAAGGCAUCAUUUCAUCUGGAAAAUUACAUUCCAGAUUCAAAACAUUUCAUUAUUCCAAAUUUCCUGCCUGGUAAAAAUCAGCAUCAUUCGAGUUAUGGGAAAAAAAAAAAAAGGAUAAUCCAGUAAGAUCUCUACUUCAUAUGUGAAUUUGCAUUGUCUUAAUUUCUAUGAAUUAUGUAAUUUUUAUAUGUUAUACAUAUACUGUAAAGCAGAGAAUAUUUAUAAAAUGGUAUAAUUUGACUCUUCAGCUAUCGUGUGAAUAUAGAACUUAUACCCAUUCUGUAUGCAUACCUCUGUGAGAGGACAAAGCAAAACCUUUGAAAAUGUAUGUGCAUACAUAUCUCUCAGUAAAUAUUUUAAUGUCUGUGUAUUCUUUUGUAAUAUUUAUCUAAAAUGUAGAAAUUCCCAUUAAGGUUUGGUUUAUAAAUGUCUAGUAUAUUUGUGUAAUUUGGAGAAAUAAUUUAAGUUACACUUAAUAAACCAAAGUCAUCUCUCUUACCUACUUGGGUUUAUUAAAUAUUAUAAAUUACAAGGAUGUAAAGUGAUCAUUGUGUUAGAAAACUAUCUUUUCUCAAUUUCCUCUCCCACUUAUACUCUAAUAUCAGAACUUAACAAUCCUUUUAAUAUGAAACCCACAGAAAACUCACUUUUUAUAAGUUGUUUAAAAUAAAAUUUCUUAACAUAUUUAAUUUUGUCCCUCAGUAGCAAUGUGCUUCCAAAAGCAAACAAGAGAUUUACUCAUAAACCAGAAGCCAAAGCAUUAGGAUGGGAUGAAAACCUUCCUCGUAAAGGAAUUUUUAAGCAGCAGAUCAUUUACUGUCAAUCUCUAAAUAAUAUUACAUUAGGAAUGCCUAAGGGUGUCUUGAAACAAAUUAUCCCCAUUUCGGAUUUCACAAUUAAAAGGGAAGGAGGGCUCCCAAACAUCCUUCAUUCCGGAAAUAUGAGCUUGUCCGGAGUGAUGACCCUGGCAGCCAUCAGUGGCUGCAUGUUAACAAAGCAUGCCCUGCAAUUGCAUAUUUGGGACUGAGAGGAUGGCUGGCUUGGUGAGUCACUCAACCCCGGAGGACAUUUUUGCAAAUAGAGGCAAAACGUCAAGACCUUUCUCAAAAAUUAAAUCAGCAAGCUUCCUAGUUAUCCUCCUGACUUAAGUAGAGGGAGUAAAUUCCUAUUCCCUGAAGCACCUUGUAAAAGCAGAGCUGCCCAAGCUCCAUUCAGAGAUGCCUUUAGCAUGAAUGGGAGCUGGAAAGAAAUAACAUUUUCAGCAUAUAAAGCAGGACAAGUUCUCUCUUCCUAUGAACCUAUAUGUAAUACUUUUAUAAAAGAAAUUACUCUGUAGGAUCGAUGCAUAGCAGUUUACUCAUGAUCUCUAUGCAAGGUCAAAAUUUUAAGGAAUAAUUUCACUUGCAAUGUGCUUUUUAUAAAAAGGUUUGAAUCUUUGUUUCCGUGGGUAUCUGUUUCAGAUACUACAAUCUAUCUUCAGCUUUCCAUAUCUAUUUUUAAAUUUUUUUAAAUCUAUUUUAAAUGUGCCUUUGCCCAAUGACUUUAAAUACAAACAUGACAUACACUCAACAGUGCUUUCCAAUAGUACUGCAUGCUAUGAUGAAAAAGUUCUCUAUCUGCAUUGUCCAACAUGGUAGCCUGUGGCCACGUUUGACGAUUGAGCCUUUGCAAUGUGGCCAGUGAGACUGAAGAACUAAAUUUUUAAUUUUUAAAUUGCAAUUACCUUGAACUGAUAUAGCCACGUGUGGCUAGUAGCUACUCUACUGGUAUUGGGCAGCACAGCUUUAGAACAGCUCUUUGAAGCCUUAAUAUGCACCGGGAGAUCUUGUUCAAAGAAAAAUUCAGAUGCGCUAUUUCCAGGGUGAGACCCUGAGAUUCUGUACUUCUAGCAAAUUCCUGGUAAUGCCAAUGCUGCUCCACCAAAGAUUACUGUUUAAGCAGUAAGGCUUUAGAAGAAUAAUUCUCAAACUUUGAUGAUGCAUAUUAAAAUAACCUGGGGGAAGUUCUCUGAUGGCCUAGUGGGUUGAAGCUCCUGCGUUCUCACUGCUGUGGCUCUGGUUUCUGCUGUAUGGUG
rnacentral:lncRNA from 1 species